GAUGAACGCUGGCGGCGUGCCUAAUACAUGCAAGUCGGGCGAAUGGAUUAAGAGCUUGCUCUUAUGAAGUUAGCGGCGGACGGGUGAGUAACACGUGGGUAACCUGCCCAUAAGACUGGGAUAACUCCGGGAAACCGGGGCUAAUACCGGAUAACAUUUCGAACCGCAUGGUUCGAAAUUGAAAGGCGGCUUCGGCUGUCACUUAUGGAUGGACCCGCGUCGCAUUAGCUAGUUGGGGAGGUAACGGCUCACCAAGGCAACGAUGCGUAGCCGACCUGCGAGGGUGGUCGGCCACACUGGGACUGAGACACGGCCCAGACUCCUACGGGAGGCAGCAGUAGGGAAUCUUCCGCAAUGGACGAAAGUCUGACGGAGCAACGCCGCGUGAGUGAUGAAGGCUUUCGGGUCGUAAAACUCUGUUGUUAGGGAAGAACAAGUGCUAGUUGAAUAAGCUGGCACCUUGACGGUACCUAACCAGAAAGCCACGGCUAACUACGUGCCAGCAGCCGCGGUAA
rnacentral:rRNA from 1 species